CUCUCGAAUGAAGAUUACAUUAGUCAGCUUAUUUCCGAAUCUCAUAAUGCGUACGACUAUUACAGUGAAUCCGACGCGGAGACGGGCCUUAACAACGAAUCAUUAGAUGCACCUGAUUCUGGGGAGUCGCAGUCGUCGGUCAUCAUGAGUGAGGUGCCAUAAGAUGAUGGGGCAAAGAAUGUCCAAGAUACUGCCAGUGCAGAUGAUAACAGGGAUAUGUUCAUGCAGAUAAUGAAAAUGACUUUUAUGUCUCACGAUGCUGCGUAUGAUUUCUACAACAGCUAUGCUAGAGAUAAUGGUUUCAGCAUUAGAAAGAAUAAGGUCAGGUAUAGCAAAACCGAGUCACAUCAUAUGCGUUAUAGGCGGUUUGUUUGUUCUAGACAAGGAAAACGUGACAACAAGUUGCUAACCGAGGAAGGACAUAGCCGUAGGCUCAGAGCCCAGAUACGCUGCUUUUGCGAAGUGCACCUGACUGUCAAGCUUGACCAAAAGCGUGGGGUUUGGUAUGUUGAAAGUUUUGAGAACAAGCAUAGCCAUAUGUUGGCAGGACCGGACGAGGUACCUUUUCUUUGGUCCCACAGAAAAAUCAAAGAG